rnacentral:lncRNA from 1 species
GUGAUGAUGUCCCGGAUGUAGUCUCCAGCUGCAGUCCCUCACCCAGGCCAUGGCUCCGACACCAGGGACCUCUGACAGCAGAGCUAAGAAAAAAGCAGGUCUUCCUCCUUCAGGAACAAGCCCAGGCUGCACUGCAGUCCUAAAAUUGCACAGCUCAUGCCAAGAAGAGGGAAACAAGAAAGAAGGGAAGAGAUGA